AAGACGAUCAGGAUAUUUGGAUACUAUGUGCUAAAAGUGUCCCAUCUUCCCCCNAUAGUACUAUACAACGUAAAUUUAAAGUCCAAAUUCGUUACCAGCUGUUGCUGAUACACAUUGCUUUGAAUCAAUCAUUAUCUCAUUCGAAGGGUGUUUCUUUGGAAUUUACAGAACAAUCGGUUUGCUACAGCGAGGUGUAACGUAGACAAUUGUUCCGUCCACCUAUCAAUGGCAUGGUAGCGUGACGCCAGCGCAGCAUUGUGUUGAUCAAUUCAAGGGCAUGAUCAAAAACAGACUUUCCACUUUACUUGUAUUUACAUUAGGUUCCUAGUAAAAACGUUUUUGUUAUAAAUUCAAAUUGGAAAAUAGUUCAUGAUCAAUUAAAAAUGUAUGUACAGAACAGUUCAGUAUGCUUAUAUCGAUGUUUAAAGUUAGAAAUGACUAAUCUGCCUUUAAAUAAUGAUUAACGAACUCCUACACAUUAACACAAUAGCAACGUAAUGUCUGACUCAUACCUUUGAUAUAAACGGAAUUCUAUUUUUUACAAGACAAAAGUAUUGAGUAGGCUAUAGUAUGUUAGUCACUACACUGUUAUUAUUAUAUUAAGCUUAUAACCUAGAUUUGAUUUUUCUAAUUUUUGUAUUUUACAAUUUAAUGUGAAAUUUUAUUUUCUUUGGUACCAAAAUUGAUAUUUUCAUUAGUUAAUAUUAGGCUACAUAGUAAAACAACAACCCCAAUAAAAAUAUGUCCUCUUGGGGAUUCUUUACAUUAAAUACUGGGAUGGAUAAAAAGGUAUCCAUAGUUUAAUUAUACAAUAACUAACUGUUUUAAUAGAGUUGUGCGCUGAAGCGAGUGCAACCGGUAUAUAAAUAAACUACAGAUUUAUUACA